rnacentral:misc_RNA from 1 species
AAUGGAUAAGAAUAAAAUAAUAAAAGAAAAGUUAAGAAAUUUCUAUAUAAAGUUCGUCAUUUUACGACGUUUACACUACUCUACAGUAAGAUAAGCCUAUGAAAAAGGAUUUUAUAAGGUAAAGAAGAAAAUCCUUAAUUUAUAAGCUACACGAUUAUGAUGUUCUAUAUAAUCACUUUAUGUUUAUUCCUUUCCUAUCAAAAAACUGUUUUAGCAAAUAAUGAAACCGUCAAUUAUGCUUUGUAUAAGAGUUCUAUGGAAAAUGUGGAUUUAUUCGAAGGCGAUAUUAGAUUGGAUACGUCAUUUGGAGAGAAUCGCAAAAGACGUGUCUAAUUCCCUGGAUAGGGUCUAUCCAUUAAGUUCUCUUGUUCACUUGUGUGUUACAUAUCAGAAUUGGACGUUCAUUAUCAAGGGCUUUCUUGGAAAUCUUUUACGGUAAACCUGGAAUCCAGACCUUGUGAAAGAUCAAGAAUUAGGCGACUGAGAAUGUGGCAUCCUGAUCAUAUGUGAUUACCAGUGUAAUUAAGAUCUCUCAAAUAGAAGAAAACAAUGUCUCAAUACAGUAUUUAAUAUUCUUAUGCGUAUUUUGUUUUUUGGAUUUUCUGCUCCUUCCUUCUUGCGAACACAAAAGAGGCCUUAACUAGUGCUCAUUGUGGAUUCGCCCACGUCCCUCAUUGUGGACCUGGGCAAACUCACAAUGGGCACAACAAUUUUCGUCGUACAGUUAGUGUUUCUAUUCAAAAUGGUGAUGCUUUUCGUCGUAUCUGUAUUCGAACUGACGCAUGGAUAACGGAUAC